ensembl:snRNA U2 U2 spliceosomal RNA
UUUGCUUCUCUGCCUUUUGGCUAAGAACAAGUGUAGUAUCUGUUCUCAUCAGUUUAGUAUCUUGUGGGCUCAGUUGGCUUGGGAAGUGAAAGGUUCAAGCCCUGCUUCUGGCACCAGGUGUGUCCUUGGGUAAGACACUUUGCACUAGCUCCCCAAGCACAGCUCAUGUGGCAGCUUGCUGCUCCCCCAA